rnacentral:rRNA from 1 species
CACGCAGGCGGACUGCUAAGUCGGGGGUGAAAGCCCGGGGCUCAACCCCGGAACUGCCUUCGAUACUGACAGUCUCGAGUCCGGGAGAGGUGAGUGGAAUUCCUAGUGUAGAGGUGAAAUUCGUAGAUAUUAGGAAGAACACCAGUGGCGAAGGCGACUCACUGGCCCGGUACUGACGCUCAGGUGCGAAAGCGUGGGGAGCAAACAGGAUUAGAUACCCUGGUAGUCCACGCCGUAAACGAUGGAUGCCAGCCGUUGGGCAGCUUGCUGUUCAGUGGCGCAGCUAACGCUUUAAGCAUCCCGCCUGGGGAGUACGGCCGCAAGGUUAAA